UCUGGACCCCUGGGGCUGAGGGAUGGCUGGAACCCUCUAUGCCCACAGUGUCCACUCUGCCCUCUGGCCAUGGGGAAUGUCCUUCAGCUCCUUGACCCUCAUCCCUAGGGACCCCACACAGCUCUGAUGGGUGCCUGGCACCUUCCCACAUCACCUCACCAUCUUGCUGGCUGACUCUUAUUUACCCUUCAGGUCUUAGCAGAGCAUCAUGCUGCCAACUUUCCUGACUGUGGCCUGGAGUAAGAAAUGCGUUUCACAUCAAGCCCAGAACACAGCAGAACAGGGAUACCUGCUAUACAGUGCAGGACAGGAUGGGAGCGGAGUGAAAAAAAGGAGUUGAGGGGAAAGGAAAAUAGAACAGUGUUGUCUAGACUUUAAUUCAGACAAGAUUAAAAACAUUCAGCAGUAGAUAGAAGAGAAGAGACCCAGACAAUUAAUGGAAGGAGGAAGACGGCAUUGCCUCCAGCUGCUGCUGCCAUUUGCUGGAGUCCCUGAACCGUCUCAGUAAACCAAGAAAGUAAGCUCAAGAAGGUAGUAUAAAGAUUGAAAAGAAGGAAUUAACUGCUACUAUUUGUAAACAGUAUCGUUACCCAGAGAAUGCAAUAAAAUAAAAUGAGGGAUGGGACAUUGUGAUUCACACAUAUAAUCUUAGCACUUUGGGAGGCUGAGGCAGGAGAAUGGUUUGAGGCUGGGAGUUAGAGACCAGACUGGGCAACCUAGUGAGACCCUGUCUCUACAAUUUUAAAAAUCAGCCGGAUGUGGUGGCAUGCACCUGUAGUCCCACCUACUUGGGAGGCUAAGGUGGGAAAGCCACUGUGGGUCCUGGAGUUUGAGGCUACAAAGAGCUAUGAGCUAUGAUGAUGCCACUGCACUCCAGCCUGGGCAGCAGAGCAAGACCCUGUCUCUAAAGAAAAAAUUAAAAAGGAGGGAAAUGAUUAGACUAAUAAGACAGAUACCAAAUCAAUGUAUCAGAAGGCCACACAAAAAAUACUAAAAUACUUAGGCAUAAAUGUUAUCAGAAAUAUGAGAGAUCUAUGAGAAUAAAAUCACAAAAGUUUAUUGAAGGACAUAAAAGAAGAUCAACAAAUAGAAAGACGUUCUAGCUGCUAAAUGAGAAAAUUUGCUUUUUUUCUUCAAAAUUAAAUUAUAAAUUCAAUCCUAAUUAAAAUUUUAAUUGAAUUUUUUUGGUAGCUCUUGAUAAAUUGAUUUUAAAGUUCAUUUGCAUGGACUAUUUUGAAAGGGCACAUGAAAAACUGAUAACAGCACUUGCCUCUUGAGGGAGAAUUGAAUUAUAGAACAUAACAGAGGGAGACUUAGUCACUAUUUACCCUAUUGUCUUUUGUAUUUGGUAUUGUGUGUGUAUUCCUUCGAUAGCAAACUAAAAUUAAAAUACUGGGCUUAAGGGGGCAAAUCUAUUUUUAAAAACCAAGUUGUUAAAAAAAUACAGCAUGAUGAUAUCGAAUAGGAAAAUAUAAUCAAGCUAUAAUCCAAGGCUUCAUUAUUGAUACAGAAAUAGUUGAACACAUCAACGGACAAAACAGAGAGUUUAAAAACAACCAUGCAGGCCAGGUAUGGUGGAGCAUGCCUGUAAUCCUAGCACACGCUCUGAGGCUGAGGUGGGUGGAUCACCUGAGUUCAGGAGUUCAAGACCAGCCUAAACAAGAGCAAGACCCCAUUUCUACUAAAAAUAGGAAAAUUGAGGCAAGAGGAUCGCUUGAGCCCAAGAACUUGAGGUUGCUGUGAGCUAUGACGCCAUGGCACUCUAUCCAGGGCCACAGAGAGAGACUCUAUCUCGGAAAAAAGUGGUGGUCACUAGAGGCCGGAGGAGGAGGAGAUGGGGAGUUAGUGUUUAAUGGGUAGAGUUUUAGUUUGGAAAAAUGGAGAUGGACAAUGGUGAUGGUUGCACAACAAUGUGAAUGUACUUAAGAAUUUUAUAUUAUUAUGUUAAUAAUUGCUCUUGUGUCUUUUCUUACUCUUAAAAGCAAAACCAUGUUAUGUGUAUCAUUUAUAAUUCCAGGCUGUUGGAGGAUUACAACACAUCCAGGAUGUUGAAUGCGGCCUUCCGUGUAGUUUCUUUGUUUUUCAGCCUUUCGGAGUGAUUGUAAACAGGACGUGGGUGGUGAAUGCCCAGCUUUCACAGGACAUAGGCUCAACUAUAGGACCUCGUGUGUGCAGUUCUGUAAAUGGGAAAGCUUGGCUGUCUUUGCUUAGAGACCUGUGGUUUGAAGUCUUGCUUUUUUGAAGGUGAGGAUGGAGUGGAUAAGGGUUUAAAUGGUUGUGGUUUUGAGCAGUGUGUGGGUUGGCUCCACAGAGAAGCCAGGUGGCCAGGGCUGGGCAGGUGUGAGGAGGGCGUGGAACUAUAGCGGUGGGCAGCCGUGUCAGGUCAGCCCCUUCUCCGGGUUGUUGGGGGGCAUUGGUAGGUGGGAUAGAGGAGGGGAAAACAGCAGGUGUUUCCCAUGACUGCCUUUUUGUGUCACUUCUUUGUGUCAUCACCUUUCCUAGUUAUUCAGUUUUUCCACAAGACACUGAGUUUCUUUGUCAAGGUCUUCAGGAAUGAAUGAAGAGCAGAAACUGGGUAUCUUCAUGCCAAUCUUGACCUUUCUCCUGGAGUGGUACUCAGUCCACCUCCUAGCCCUGGCUUCCUUCUCUCCACUAAGUGUCAACUUCCCCGUCGCCUACCUCUAGGGCCCUGAUCCCUUUCCUUCCAGGCCAGCCCACAGACAGGGGCCUCAUCCACCCCAGUAUCCCUCCUGCCUCUCUGGCCACAUGUGUCCCAGGGUGGAAGGAGGAUUUCCUUAAUGCUUCAAAUCUCUGUGACUCUGAGAGCUUUACGGUGGAGCGGGGAGAUAACAAAAUGAGUUAAAAAAAUAAUUGCUCCGGUGUCUUUUCUUCCACUAACUGACAUUUUCAACUCUCAGCAGGGAGUUGAACUGAACCCAAAGUAGGAAACUGAUAUUUUAAUUUGAAUUGAAACUGAACUCAAAUAACAAUAUUGUUCUCUCUUUGAAGCUUGAACUGGAUCUGACCUGGACAAAAUCCAGAAAAUUUUGUACUGUAUUCCUUCUCUCCAAAAACAACUCACAGGACCAGGCGAGAUCUUUCUGAAUUCUAAACCUGAUUCAUGUUUUGUUUUUUUUUUCAACUGAGUAGAGUAAUAUGUUAAAUAACUUAAAAAAAAAACUUUUUAUUACCAUGCAUGAUAGAAGCAGGACCUCUUAAAUACAGAUUAUAUCUUUGCCAUUGAAAGAACAAAAUGAGUUGUAAACUUCAUGGGUCUUUUUAUCAGAAAAAUUUUUAAAAACUGACAUAAAUUUUAUAUGAGGUUCGAUACUAUAUUUUCAUUUCUGUGUUCCUUUUUUAAGUGAAUUCAAAGAACUACAUCAAAGAAUUUUUAAAAACUCGGUGAAUAUUGUAUUUCCACAUUUUGCUGCUAGGUCUUUAAGGAAUUUCAGCAUAAGAAGAUAAAGUGGUAGGAAAUGUAGACUCCAUGAGUGUUGUGGUUUGAAUGUGUCCCUGAAGUUCAUGUGCUAAAAACUUAAUGCCCAAUGCAACAGCGUUGAGAGGUGGGACCUGAGAUGAUUGGGUUGUGAGGUCUCAGCCGUUGUGAGUGGAUCAAUCCCAUUAUGGCAGGAGUGGGUUCCUGAUAAAAAGAUGAGUUCAGCCUCCUUUCCUCUCUCUCUCUUUCUCUCACUCUCACUCUUUUUCCUUCCACUUUCUGCCAUGGGAUGACACAGCAUGAAGGCCCUCAGCAGAUGCUGGCACCAAGCUCUUGGACUUACCAUCCUCCAGAACUGUGAACCAAAUAAACUUCUGUUGCUU